CUAAAAUUUGAGAUUUAGUGUUGUGCCAACACUAUCGGCAAGUGCAUCAAGUUUCAUUCAAAUCAAAAUCCACUUGGUUAAACCCACUACAUGAUUUGGCAUGGAAGGACCAACGACCUCCUAGAUGGCGCCAAUUGGAUUGUAAAUCUAGUUUGGACCAAUUUGGAGACCCAAGCACUCGAGUUUUAUACUGAAUU